AUGGUAAUAAAAAAACAAAAGAAGGAAAGAAAACAAGAAUGGCAGAUCGCAGAUGUGGCAAUAUGUUUUCCUAAUAUCUACACGGAAAAUCGGAGAAUUUCUUCUUUCCUUUCCACCUCCUCCCUCUCCUACCCAAUUCCCCUUCUCUAAUAAUCUCUCUCUCUCGCUGGUUUUUUUUUUUGGGCAAAAUCGUACUAUACUAUUUGUGUAUGCUGAUCGAUGAAUUUGUAUUGCUCGGUUGUAUUGGAGGAAACGUAAAGAGGUUUCACCAAGUUUGAGAGAGGUAUCUGUAUUGUAGGUACCUAUAAUACCUCUGUUGCUCUUCUUCUGUUUAUUUUCUCUCUUUUCUGUGUCUAAGGGUGUUGGAAAUUGGGUGUAGAACUUAGUAAAGAUGCCAUAUUUAUACAGAUGUAAUGCUGUCUUCUAUGUCAUGUGCAUUAAAAUUUUCAGUUUUUGUGAUUAAUUCGUUGUUUGCCUUCAUACGAUUUUAAGAUUGUAUUUUAAGUUUUGGUUGGGGUUUUUGGUUUUAGCUUUGUAGCUGAUAAUGAUUGGUGUAAAUGAUUCGUAGUGGUAUUUCAGUUGGUGUUAAUGAUUAAUACUGUUAUUUCAGUUUUAGAUUUUGUGUAAGCUGGCCGUUCAGUUGUUAAUUUUCAUUAUGAGUGUAAGGGGUGUAAGAUUGCAAGCCAUAAUUCUGGAAACUGGAAAGGUUCAACCCGCAUCAGGUCAGGAGUAGUACAAAACGGGAAAAUGGGUAGCCCACGACAUUUAAGGUGUUGCAGAUUGACCUGCGGGCAUGCUCAGUUUUUUGAAUGUUCUUGUGUUCAAAAGUGAGGUGCCAAAAUUAAACCCUCCCUUAGACUGACUCUAGACAUGGAAACUUGAGUUAUGAAGGUGCGGGGAGUUGAGGUAAGCUCAGCUUUAUGAAAAGGAAUUUCACUUGACUAAUCCUUGGAAGCCUGCAAUCGACAAUCACAUUAUAUUUGGGGAUUUCGAUUCAUGAAUAAGUGCCUGAAGUGAUGAUCAGACAAGUUUACUUUUAUUUGCUUAACUGAAAGCUCAAUACUUAGUGAUAGAAAUUGGGCUGGACUAUUGCUUCAUUUGUUUAUACCUGUAACUGUUUGCAUUCUUUUGGCUGCAAAAUCUUGUUGUGUUUGUUGUUUGGGAAGAUUUGUAAUGGGAUGGUAGGGCUUUGUUAAUUCAUAAAUAGGCUGUAAGCUUUACUAAAUUCGCGACAAUGGCAAUUAGAAAUCAUUUUACAUUCACU